AUAUUGAAAUAUAUAAUCCAAAAUACUUGGUGCAACCGUACUGAUAUGUUCUAAUUCGAUUUAUCAACCGAUAUCCAGUUGUGAACCAUUAUCUAGUUAAUGUGUAACGAACUUUAGACUAUUAUUUAAAAGCUUUUUUACUGGAAAAAAAAUAAAUUCUUAUUCUGAUUUCGAUACCAUUCAGAAAAGCCACACACGUUUUCGCAACUCAUUUUUUUACUGUGUUCAACCAUUUCCCCUUUGAAUAUUUUAACAGAAAUUUUUCGUAUUGAUCAUGCUCUAGGAUUUGUAAUUUAAACUAUGCCAUUAUCUUUCGUAGGAUCUACGAUAGGAUUUGCCCAUGGGAAGGAGUUGGAGAUGGCGUCCAAACCAACGGUAGCCCAUUAUUGAUUACCUAUACCCCAGUGCAAUCGCAUUUAGUUAUUUCGUAGAAGAGACGAAAUACAUUUUGGUGCAAUGUUUGUGUCUACAUCCUGUAUAAUUCUAUCAACUUUAGAUUUUUCGAUAAUGCCAGGUUUUAGAUAUAUUUAGAUACUUUUUAUAAGGUAUUGAUAUGUUGACCAAAUAAGGCUCAUUUGAGAGAGUCAUUCGAAAGUUUAAAGAUAUAAAGGAAAAUAAUGUGGCAUAAAAGCAGGGCAACUUAAAGAAAAACGACAAUUUAAUAGAAGAGUGA